rnacentral:rRNA from 1 species
UACGAAGGGGCUAGCGUUGCUCGGAAUCACUGGGCGUAAAGCGCACGUAGGCGGAUCGAUCAGUCAGGGGUGAAAGCCCGGAGCCUCAACUCCGGAAUUGCCUUUAAGACUGCAUCGCUCGAAUUCAUGGAGAGGUGGAGUGGAAUUCCGAGUGUAGAGGUGAAAUUCGUAGAUAUUCGGAAGAACACCAGUGGCGAAGGCGACUCACUGGACAUGUAUUGACGCUGAGGUGCGAAAGCGUGGG